CAAGUAAUUUAAAUUCAGACUUUUUUUUUUUUUUCUUUUCUGAGACCUGGGUAGCAGCACGUCGAUGGGUUGGUUUUGUUUCCUCUUCAUUGAAGGUGGUGAGUUUCAAAGAUAUCAGCUUUAUAUAAAGCUCUCCGUUCCAACCCUACCCCAAACUUCCUCUCCUGUCUUCAUGUGGAUGCUAACUUAAAACUCUUAUUUCUGGGUCAGAUAACUCCCUGCUCUCAGCCCUGAUGACUACACCUUUGACACACACUAUAUUGUUGUGUUUACCUGAAGAACAACAGAGCCCAGGAGGAGGCGGCAGCCAAAGACCUUUCUUCCAGGAUUUUUAUCAGGUCCCAGAAAUGUUCUAGAAACCAAGGACACCCAAAUCCAUGCAAGGAAGCCAAUUAUGCUCAAGGAAAACCAGAACAAGACAGGGACCCUGCUCUACAGGCCAUUAGCAGGUCACAGCAAAUAUCAAGACAAUAGCAUGAAGUGAUUCAAGAAUUUCAACUGGCCUUCCCUGCAAGCCCUUAACAGGGAAACCCAAUAUAGGGACCACCAGAGCUCUGCCCUCUUGCUGUUGACUGCACCAUGUAAGAGCUAAUUAGAUUCUGCUUCCUCUGUGGUUGGUGUUAUCUGUAAAGAAUGAGCAGAACAUUGGCGCUAGUGCCAUUCAAUCCAUUAUGAGUUCCACAGUUUGGCCAUGAACAAUGGUGGCUGAAAUGGCAUGCAGAUGCAAAAAGCUAGGACCUGGAGGCCGAGGCAGCCCUGUGAGACUGGGUGCUGCUGGGCCAUCCCUAAGAAAGGCCAUGUGGAGAACCUUUCUGAGGAAAGAAAAGCUAGAAAUCCGAAGGCCAUUAGGUGCCCAAGUCUUAGAUAAUGUGAAGGCAUGAACAUGGGGUUGCAGAUGAUGGCGCCAUCAAAGUAAACUAGUCAGCCUCUUGGGUGGCGUAGUGAAGCUUUAAGACAUCAUGCAGCCAACAGCAGGUGCCUGAGUGCAGUGUUUACAGGAAGAAAAUCCAUUCACCUAUUUUAUUCAGACUCCAAAGACGAGUCUAUGUAAUUAAGAGACUGAGAAUUACACUAGGGACCUCCUAUAGACAUGUUUGUGAGAGGCUGCCCAAAGCCAAUUAGCAUAAUAAAUCAGACGUGCAGGAACAGUGAGCUCACAUGUGUACAUGUUUGUCAAAGAGGAUCAUGGUGGUCUUUCAUCUUUCAAUCCUAUUCAGAUCUUGGGCAAGUAAAAAGUCAACUAGAAUUUUUUUUCUUAAAUAUACGUGUACAUAUGCAUUAGAAAGGUAAAAAUAAAUCCUAUAAAAUGUACUUUUUAUUCUCUCUCUUUCAAGAAUUAAACUUACCACAUAUAAAAACAAGUUUUGGGCAGGGGGGUGUGGGUUGUAUCUUUUUGGUUUUUGUUCUCAAAACCCAAGCAAACAUCAGACUAUGAAAAAGGAAUUCAAACAGAGUUAGUUUCCAUUCCUUCACCCACAGUGCACCAACUUUCUCCCCCAAGACUCACCUCUCUCUUAGCCAGGCACUGAAAAGACAAGAACUCUGCCUUCAGGUCUUCUCUGGGGAUAUGGGAAAUGGCAGCAGAGCACCCUGGGCUCAGAAAUCAGUCAUGGCACCCGGCACCUGCGUGCCCUCACCAAAUUCAACCUGUCCUCCCCAGCUCCAUUGUCAGCCACUCUCCCUCCCACUGCCCUGAAGAUGGAAAUGUACCCAACCUUCAAGCCCCUGUCGGUCCAGCUCGCGAAGUUUCCGGCUGAAGAUUCAUUAUCAGAUGGAUGAGAUGUUCAUCUCCACUUACACAGCCUACGGCUUGUGUGUGGAGAAAGAUGUUGAGCCAACAAAAUGAUCUGCAACACAAAAUUCUACUCUCCUCUUCACUCUUUAUUGCUAAAGCACUUAUUUCACUGGUUUCAAGCUGCUUUAAAAGGAGUGAAUAUGCAGGUAAGGAGAUUGGACCGGGUUGGAGUGUCUGUCCCUGCAGCUGGGUCCUCCAGGCAUGGACACAUGUUUGUAAGAUUAAAAAGACCAUUGCAAGGCCAGGCAUGGUGGCUCAUGCCUGAAAUCACAGCACUUUGGGAGGCUGAGACAAAUGGAUCGCUUGAGGUCAGGAGUUCAAGACCAGCCUGGCCAACAUGGUGAAACCCCACCUCUACUAAAAUACAAUAAUUAGCUGGGCAUGGUGGCAGGUGCCCGUAAUCCCAGCUACUUGAGAGGCUGAGACAGGAGAAUCGCUUGAACCAGGAGACGGAGGUUGCAGUGAGCCGGGAUCGCACCACUACACUCCAGCCUGGGCCACAGAGCAAGACUCUGUCUCAAAAAAAAAAAAAAAAAAUGAUGAUGUUGCAGUUCCCAGAUAUGAGUCCGCAACAUGCUCUUGCUAUAACCCAUUGGAUUAAAAAGAGUCCUUCCCUUUGGACUGUGGGUCCAAAGCUUUGCCCCAUUUUUCUCUUUCCAUUGCUACUAUUCAAAUCCUGAAUGGCAGUUUCUUGAGAGGUUAAUUGGUAGUAGGCCAGCAUUAAAAAAGUCAGAGGGGGCAGGAGUCCUGUGGUCAUGGAUUUCUGAAAAGCCAUAUUAACAUAUUAACAAAGUUAGAUGCCUGUCUUUAUUGCAGAGCUCGGGAGCCUUUUCUACGCUCAGGUCUUUUCAAAUCCCCAGUGGAACUCUGCUGCGGUUUUUCUCAGUUUGACCUCAGCGCCUUUUGUUUCCUGUGGAAUGUCAUGGGAUUAGCAUUCCUGGCGGUACUUAGGGAGACAUGUUUUCUAGCAGUCUGGGUCCCAGAAGGGCAAGUCAAGUAAUCAAUCAACAAGAAAGUACACAAAUAUGUUGCAUGUCAAGUUAUCAUCAAUUUUAAAAUAUUAUUGAUGACAUUUUUAAUCAGUUUAUUUAUUUGUACUAAACCUAUUUCUACUUACAGAACUCCUCAAUUCCCACUAGCCCCAUUUCAAGUGCUCAGGAGCUCCAUGGAGCUCCCUCGCAGCUCGAUUGGACGUGCAGAGCUUGAUGAAGCGGAUAAAAGACACUCAGGUUUAGACCCUUGGAGGGAGAGAACACAGAGGGCUUUGUGACCUUUUAAUGAGGCACAAAAACACCCCUGAGACUUUCCUUUUCCCACCCCUUCUCUAUUAAUCCUCUUCAACAACAUGAAUUUCCACAGUGAGUUGAGGGUUUACCCCUACCUGCCUCAAAGGAAUUUUGAAAAGAUUAAAAAAAAAAAAAAAGAAAGAAAGGAAAACAGAGCUUUGGCUCAGCACUCAGGACCCAUCCGAGGUGGUCGCAAUUAAAAACAAAAGCAGCCACUGUGAUUGGUCUCACUUGUACCGUAGUAACAUGUGAUCUAUUUCAGCAGCAGCCAUAGCGUUUGUUUUGGAGACUUCAGUCAGAAAAUAAACGUAACGCAUGUGUGAAAAGAAAGAAGUGUGUGGAACUCGGAGAAAGUCUUAUCUUCUGAACACGAGUGCCCGAGGACAGAAGCCCCCAUCUUUUAACAAAGAAAAGUCCAUUGUUCAUCAUUUUGUGAAAUGUGAAAACUAACAUGAUAAACAAUGAUUCAUUUUAAUGGACUGAAAAAUAACUUGCAUAGACACUGGAGGCCAAGAAAAGAAAAAAAAAAAAAGAAAGAAAAGAAAAAGCAUUAUCCUUUUAUCCAUUUAAAGAAAAAAAAGCAAAAUACAUCCUAUUAUCAGCUCUCAAUAGAUGAACAGGCACUAAGCAGAAGCUUCGGGAAGGCUGCUGUUUCAGAAAAACUUAACAGGUUUUUGAAAAGAAGAAUUCCAACCCCCUGAACUCCCACCCUCUUGUGCACACAACUGGAAGAAUGGCACACCCAGAUCUGAUGGUGAUAACUUUUAUUUGCAAAGAGAUGGGUUAGGAACGGCCAGCGGUUGGGGGCAGAUUGGAGAUGGGAGGAGAGCUCAUCAAAGGGCUUCAGUUAGUUGUAGGUAAACAGGCCUUGUCCCCUGACACUGUUCUUUUCCUUGCAACCCAUCAAAAGAUGUAUCUGAAUGGUGACUGGACCCAGGGGUGCUGGGGCGAGGGUGUCAGGAAGCCGCUUUCAGGAAUCAGCCAUCCUACUGCUCUUCCUGUAAGGAUUUCUGUUGCUCUUUAAAUCAGUAAGUGGAGACUAGGGCAUUCUAAUGUUGCAAACAUUAAACAGUCAAGCUACCACUUAAAUUUUCUGCUGCAAAAGAAAUUUCAACCACUGACUAGUUAAGGGGAAGGAUCUCCCCUACCCUAUAAUUCCCAUGGCUAAAACGCUUGACAUUUCUUAUUUCAGACUGGAAGAUUCUGUAGGCUGUCCGAUUUAGGUAAAUGGCGCUGUCUUUGGCUUUCGUUAUGAUGCUCAGAAGUGAGAGCUGCUGCAGUUUGACCCCCUCUCCCUGGCUGUGGGCUUUGCUGUGACACAAGGUAAAGUGAGGAGUCAGUGCUGCCCUGGGACCCAGCCCAAGCAUAUGGCUACACUGUGGCUUAGUGUCCGGGGGCUGCUUUAACAAAUGACCGCAAACUGGGUGUCUUCAAACAACAGAAGCUCUUCUCCUGGAGUUCUGAAGGCCAGAAGUCCAAAAUCAAGGUGUGGGCAGGCUAGGUUCCUUCCAAAAGCUCUGGGAGAAUGUUCCGGCUCUCUCCUGGCUUCUGGCAGUGCCAGGAUUCCUUGGCUGUCUUUGGUUCCUAGAUGCUGCACUCCAGUCUCUGUCUCCGUGGUCACAUGGUAUCCUCUCCGUGCCUCCCUGCGGCUUCAUGUGGUCUUCUUAUAAGGACACCAGUCACUGGAUUUAGGACCCACCCUAAAUCCAGGAGGACUUCAUCUAUGAGAAUGGCAUACACAAAGAGCCUAUUUCCAAAUAAGUUCACAUUCUGAGGUUCUGGGUGGACAGGUAUUUGUUAGGACACUAUUUAGCCUAGUCCAUCCUCAUUCUUCUACUCCAAGAUGAAAUUUUCCUAAACUUCUAAUAGCUAUUUUUAUCACUGCAGAUUUUAUUACCUUGACAAAAAAAAAA
rnacentral:lncRNA from 1 species